AGAGAGGGUUUACAUACCAACAUGCCGAGAAUGAGGACGUGGUUCUCAUCGUAUUGGAAUCGGUGCUUUUGUGCUAAACAAGCGCAGAGAGGUGCUUGUGGUUCAGGAGAUUGGUGGUCGUUUCAAAGGGACAGGAGUGUGGAAGCUUCCUACCGGUGUUAUUCAAGAGGGUGAGGAUAUUUGGACAGGAGCAGUUAGGGAAGUGGAAGAAGAAACUGGUGUA